UUCUCCUCCCCCAUUUAUGUCUUCUUCUUCGCUACUCUGUCCAAAAACCCUCGCCCCUCACCAAAUAUGGAAAGCAAACAAAUUUCUUACCCCCAAAUCUAAAUCCAAGCUACGCAUGGCUGAAAAUACUACAAAAAAUGUUUUCAAUUCCGUUAUUUCAAACUCUUGAACCCAGAACACCGACAGAUCGAUCGACAAAUACGGUCUUCAAUAGCAACGGAUGCAAUAUCAUACAAUUUCAGAACGAUAUUGAAGUUGAAAACGUAUUUGAAGGGAUACCAACAAAGAUAAGUAUUCUAUUCCCUAAAAUUUGAAAUAUAAUAUUUAGCUAGAAUAUUCAAUCAUUUAAUCUGGUCCCUUUAUUUGCUCUGCAUGCAUAUUUCUUUGCAAUUUAAUCCGAAGAAUUGUCCUUGUUAAUUUGCUUAAAUAUGAUAUUAGAUCGGUUUUAGUAUUUCCAGAUUCGCUUUAAUCGCAUGUAAUAUUUAGUUCUAUUAUUUUUAAUCUCAUUAUUUUACAAUAUAUUAAUUUGUUUUAUUUUUAAUUGCGAAGUGUAAUUUUUUUUUACAAAUAUUAUAGAAGGGAAAGGAAAUCAUAACCGUACAUACGCAUAUAUUCAAUACCGUACAAUGCCAUUUUGCUUAUUCAAAUUUACAACUUGUUCUUUUCAGUAUUUGUCUCAAUGCGAGCUAUUUGAAGGUCGGAGGCUUGAAGCAACUUUGCUGUUAGGCAUGACUGUUAGAGAACCUCAUCUUCCUCUACAUUCUACUGCCUUCCGCUUCCUCUGCCGCUACUGCAAUGAAAAAAGGGUUCUCCUACUAUGCAAAUUUGCCAAAUUGGAAGUUUUUACAUGCUGCAAAACUACAAUUGGUUAUUUAGUUAACUUGCAAGUGAAGUGAACGACGGUGAAGGCAAACAACUUAGUAUAAGGAUUCAACUCAUUUGUCAACUUAAGUAAAGUUGAAUGUGUCCAAAACUGAAGUCAUUUCAAUGUUAAAUGUGUAAUGUGGUUAAAUCUACAAAAGAGUGCUUUUGAAAAUGAAAAAGUUCUUUGAUCCAGAGAAAUUUUUAGAGCUAUUCAACCUACCAUCAAACACUUUGAAAGACAUGCUAAUAUUGUUGGAUGCAGUUGGACCAAGAGGGGAGCCAUUUUCAGGCGGAGUAGAUGGCAAAGAAAGAACAAACACGCAGACCUUAAUUCGCAAAAUGGCUUGUUAGUUGCCAUUAUUUAUAGAACAGAGUUAAGCUGAAGAGUUCAAAUUAGAUUUGGAGGAUUUAGAAUUCCAAGAAAACUCAACAAUUACUGAAGAGCAAUUAUGGGUUUGCACCGGAAAAUGAAACGCCAAAAUAAAAAAGCUGCAAAGUGUUUUGAA